rnacentral:rRNA from 1 species
AGUGAACGCUGGCGGUAGGCCUAACACAUGCAAGACGGACGGCAGCACAGGAGAGCUUGCUCUCUGGGUGGCGAGUGGCGGACGGGUGAGGAAUACAUCGGAAUCUACUUUUUCGUGGGGGAUAACGUAGGGAAACUUACGCUAAUACCGCAUACGACCUACGGGUGAAAGCAGGGGACCUUCGGGCCUUGCGCGAUUGAAUGAGCCGAAGUCGGAUUAGCUAGUUGGCGGGGUAAAGGCCCACCAAGGCGACGAUCGGUAGCUGGUCUGAGAGGAUGAUCAGCCACACUGGAACUGAGACACGGUCCAGACUCCUACGGGAGGCAGCAGUAGGGAAUAUUGGACAAUGGGCGCAAGCCUGAUCCAGCCAUACCGCGUGGGUGAAGAAGGCCUUCGGGUUGUAAAGCCCUUUUGUUGGGAAAGAAAUCCAGCUGGCUAAUACCCGGUUGGGAUGACGGUACCCAAAGAAUAAGCACCGGCUAACUUCGUGCCAGCAGCCGCCGUAA